UCUGUAUCAUGUAUUUUGCAGAACUGCUGAGAGGACUGUAAAGUCAGAAAAGAUAUAGGUGAUGUUAUCCCGCUACUGGAUCAGUAUCCCUACUCUUAAACUGAAGUGGAUUAAAGAGGAUAGAGAAAUAAGAAGAUUCAUGAAAGUUUUUUGUGUUUGGAAUGUGUGAUACACCCUAGAGAUUAAGAUCUUCAAAAAGGAGAACAUGAUUCAAGGAUUGGUUGAUAUAGGCAACAUAUUCACCCUGUACUUGAACAUUCGAGCAGACCCAGAUAAUCAUAGCAAAUAUGGCCAAGGAAAGAGUAAAAUACUGUUUUGCCACUUCCAAUCAUUUCUUCUUCUGGUGCUCGAGAAGGUACUAGUUGCCAUAAGAGCCUGGAGACUGGGUAUAGACAGAAGCUGCUUUCUGAGAAUGCUCUGA
rnacentral:lncRNA from 1 species